AUGUGUAGACCAUCAUUUGAUUUUAGUACUUUGAAUAGGUUCAUGCCAAAAGAUAAACUUUCAGAUGUACAUGGUAUCACCAUCACCUCUGAUGGCACAAGCGCUCUAUUUGAUGUUCUACAGGAGAGGCUUUGCAAGGUGGCCAUGACUAAUAUUAUUGUAAAAAGCACUGUAACUUUUGCCUCGAAUGAAACAAGGUCUUUGGGCGAGACAAAAAGGAAAGAAAAUCAGCCCCCCUCUCCCCGCACGCCCUGCCUCCCAAUCCCAUCUCCAACCCCUGCCACGCCCCUCACCGCGCGCCGCCGGGUUGGGGAGGCUGAUCCGAAAGCGGGCGGCGAGGAGGGGGUCGCCGGUGGCGACGAGGAAAGCCGGAGUGAGGGAUCCGGCGACCUAGGCAGGAGCUCGCCGGAGCUGGGCGACGGCAGACGGGCGCAGAGAAAGAGGAGGAUUCAGGGAGGAGGAGAGGUAGGGAGAAGAAGGUGCAGGUGCGAGCUUGGGGAAGAGGGAGCAGAACGUCAAGUGAGAGACUGUGAGGAUCAGGGAUUCUUGUUAGCCAGCAUGUAUAUGAUUUAUGCAGCAGAGAGGAGGCUGCAAGGGGAGAGGAACGGUGCAUUGAGGUUGAGGUACACAGGACACAUCGGGACCCGGGAGCUCCAGAAGAGGCUCGAUCGAUCUUGA
rnacentral:rRNA from 1 species